rnacentral:rRNA from 1 species
AACGCACAUGGCGCUUCUGGAAACUCUCUGGGAGCAUGCUUGUUUCAGUGUCUGUGGCAACCCUCCGUCGGCUGCGCGCGAGCGCAGUCCGCGGGAAUGUGGGUGUCCGGCGCUUCACUGCCGCCGGUUGCCUGAAGUGCACCAGUGGGCACGCGGCUGAGUCCGCCUUCAAUGCGAUCGUGCUAUCCCAAACGCGGGACGUGCGUCGGCGCCUGGUGUGGUGGUGUGGCCUCUGCGCUGCAACCCGCCCCAAGUGCUGCACCCUGUCCUCUGCGGGCGCGAGCCGCGAAGGCCUCAGUGUCUUUGUGUGUCGAGGGAACCGCGCUUUUUUUGCGCGCGUCCCCCACCCAACUCUAAACACUCAAGCAUCGGACCUGAAAUCAAGUAAGACUACCCGCUGAAUUUAA